rnacentral:rRNA from 1 species
GAGAGUUAAACAGUACGUGAAAUUGUUGAAAGGGAAACGAUUGAAGUCAGUCAUACUAACGGGAAAUCAACCUCUUGAGUUUGGUCUCGUGGGUUUUGAAGAGUUUAAAAGCCUUCGGAUUUUCGAGAUUGGAUUCUUCUGGUGUACUUUCUCGUACGGUUAGUCAACAUCGGUUUUGAAUGUCAUAAAAUGACUGGAGGAAUGUGGCUUCGAUCUCGUAUUGAAGUGUUAUAGCCUUUGGUAGAUGUGAUGUUCGAGACCGAGGAUUGUGCAACGGAUACCCUUCUGGGCUAUUCGUCUGAUCUCUGAAACGUUGCCUUGAUGUCGAAAGCUUGCUGAAGUUGUUCGGACCGUUGGUGAAAAGGUUGGAGCGACCGGAUCGUUAAGGAUGCUGACGUAAUGGCUUUAAACGA